rnacentral:rRNA from 1 species
UACGUAAAAUGCGAUCGUUCAUCGGCAUUACUAAACGUAAAGCGUGCGCAGGCAAUCUCGUAAGCUAGGUGUGCAAGCCCCUGGCUUAACCUGGGACUGGCAUUCAGAACUGCGAGGCUCGAGUGUGGCAGAGGGAGGUGGAAUUCCACAUAUAGCAGUGAAAUGCAUAGAGAUGUGGAGGAACACCGAUGGCGAAGGCAGCCUCCUGGGCCAGCACUGACGCUCAUGCACGAAAGCGUGGGGAGCAAACAGG